ensembl:lncRNA
ACCGCAGAAAUUAACAGAAACGCAGUGUCCAGGAGCAGGGCUGAAACUACCCUUUUAAAAGACAAAAAACCCCCAAACCAAACAAAACCAGACAUGACUCAGCCCUGAACUGGAAGCUGUGAGCUGUCAGCAGUGCAGUUCUGUGCUCUGGCUAGUGACUCCUUUUGAGAGACAAGGUGUGUUAGCUCAAGCUCUCUGCAUUACCAGUACAACUGCCUGUGGUUUGGAAGAGUUUUUUGGCGGUGAUCCCACUGGUUCAGAACGAGGAUAGAGCUUGCUUGCCUCUGCCUCUGCUAAAGACAACGUAGGCUUGUUCUGAGUCUGUAUUGUUUCUCUCAUAAUUACUGUUUGAUUAAAGCAUUUAAGAUACUUUUGUCUUUUUAAUUUGGCUCUAGAAUAGGGCAGGAGGCCCACUCCUAGUAUACAUAGUUUCCUUUAAGCCCAACCUGGCAAAUUUUGAUUACUUCUGAGAUAGGCAGCAUUAUGAAUCAGUCCUGAAUGCUUCUGCAGACAAGCACAUUCCUGCAGCAGAGCUCACCUAAAAAAUCCAGAGGCAGAUGGAAAACCAGCUAUCAAGUAAUUAAAUUGGGCUGUUAGUCAAGAAACAAGGCUGUAGUAGCAGCUCAGCUGGGCCCCAUAAGCCAGGUACAGGACACAACUUCACUGCGUGCAGUCUGCAGUCACAGUGGGCCGAACGCAAGAGAAAGUGUUUUUGUGUCGUUGCAGUGCCUUAAUGCGUGGAUCACCAAAGGUGGCUGGAAGUUCUGCUCAGCCUUCAGUGAGGGAGGAUGUGACAAAAGUAAAGAGCAGUGUUUUCAGCAAGAUCUACAGUUACAAGCCAAUUCAGAGAAGGUGUUCUCCAUGGCAGUGAAACCAGCCUUUCAGGAGGCACCGUGCUGUUCCUAGAAGCUGUGUCCUUGAAAUUUACAGUAUCAGUGGGAAACUAAUUUCUGCAGUCAUGGCAGACUGGUGAGUUAUAAUUCAAAAGCACAGUUAAAACUAACAAAACUUU